UGAUUAAUUUUGUGUUUUAAAAUAGGUUUCUACAUUAACAUCCCAACUCAAUGAAAUGAAGGCAAUGGUUAAUUUUUUGGUACAAAAUUAUCAAGGAGAGUUGCCUCGUGAUUUUACUGUGCAUCAUGCACCAACGGUAUCUGAUCAAGGAAGUGUUCCUAACGAAGAAACAAAUGAUCAACAUCCAACACUGCAUUAGAUGAUAUUUUUCGUUUACUUUUGAAAUUUGUCAACAAAUAUGCUUCUAGGAAACUUUUGGUUAAUUUUGGUUUUAUUAUAGGUAGAUAGUGCAUUGCUUAUUAUGUCAUUGUCAUUCAAAUGCUACCUCUCCAACACUUAUUAUGUUAAGAGCAUUAUGACUGCUAGUUCUAUUGGUACCAUUUGAAUGAAUAUUUGUAUUGGUACCAUUUGAAUGAAUAUUUGUAUUGAUUGCUUAUUUUGAAGUGGCAUUGAAGGUUUUGCUUAUU